rnacentral:rRNA from 1 species
CAGUAGCCGCGGGAAUACGGAGGGUGCGAGCGUUGUCCGGAUUUAUUGGGUUUAAAGGGUGCGUAGGUGGCUUUUAAGUCAGUGGUGAAAUACGGUUGCUCAACAAUCGAGGUGCCAUUGAUACUGAAGAGCUUGAAAUAAUUGGAGGCUGCCGGAAUGGAUGGUGUAGCGGUGAAAUGCAUAGAUAUCAUCCAGAAUACCGAUUGCGAAGGCAGGUGGCUACGAUUUGUUUGACACUGAGGCACGAAAGCAUGGGGAGCAAACAGGAUUAGAUACCCCCGUAGUCCCUGUCUCUUAUACA